GACGAACGCUGGCGGCGUGCUUAACACAUGCAAGUCGAACGGACAGGCCCUGCUUUUGUGGGGUGCUCGAGUGGCGAACGGGUGAGUAACACGUGAGUAACCUGCCCUUGACUUUGGGAUAACUUCAGGAAACUGGGGCUAAUACCCGAUAGGAGCUCCUGCUGCAUGGUGGGGGUUGGAAAGUUUCGGCGGUUGGGGAUGGACUCGCGGCUUAUCAGCUUGUUGGUGGGGUAGUGGCUUACCAAGGCUUUGACGGGUAGCCGGCCUGAGAGGGUGACCGGCCACAUGGGGACUGAGAGACGGACCAGACUCCUACGGGAGGCAGCAGUGGGAAAUAUUGCACAGUGAGCGGAAGCCUGAUGCGACAGCGCCGCGUGCGGGAUAACGGCCUUCGGGUUGUAAACCACUUUCGCCUGUAACGAGGCGUGAGUGACGGUAAUGGAUAAAGAAGCACCGGCUAACUACGUG
rnacentral:rRNA from 1 species